UACGUAGGGGGCAAGCGUUGUCCGGAUUUAUUGGGCGUAAAGAGCUCGUAGGUGGUUCGGUAAGUCGGAUGUGAAAUCUCCAGGCUCAACCUGGAGGGGUCAUUCGAUACUGCCGUGACUAGAGUUCGGUAGGGGAGUGUGGAAUUCCUGGUGGAGCGGUGAAUGACGUAGAUAUCCGGAGGAACACCGGUGGCGAAGGCGGCUUCCUGGAC
rnacentral:rRNA from 1 species